rnacentral:rRNA from 1 species
CUUGUACCUGGUGGCGAGCGGCGGACGGGUGAGUAAUGCCUAGGAAUCUGCCUGGUAGUGGGGGAUAACGCUCGGAAACGGACGCUAAUACCGCAUACGUCCUACGGGAGAAAGCAGGGGACCUUCGGGCCUUGCGCUAUCAGAUGAGCCUAGGUCGGAUUAGCUAGUUGGUGAGGUAAUGGCUCACCAAGGCGACGAUCCGUAACUGGUCUGAGAGGAUGAUCAGUCACACUGGAACUGAGACACGGUCCAGACUCCUACGGGAGGCAGCAGUGGGGAAUAUUGGACAAUGGGCGAAAGCCUGAUCCAGCCAUGCCGCGUGUGUGAAGAAGGUCUUCGGAUUGUAAAGCACUUUAAGUUGGGAGGAAGGGCAGUUACCUAAUACGUGAUUGUUUUGACGUUACCGACAGAAUAAGCACCGGCUAACUCUGUGCCAGCAGCCGCGGUAAUACAGAGGGUGCAAGCGUUAAUCGGAAUUACUGGGCGUAAAGCGCGCGUAGGUGGUUUGUUAAGUUGGAUGUGAAAUCCCCGGGCUCAACCUGGGAACUGCAUCCAAAACUGGCAAGCUAGAGUAUGG